rnacentral:lncRNA from 1 species
UCCUUGCACUUGGCUUAUCCAAUAAAUCAAUUGGACUUGAUUCAAUCAAGCUCAAACUAAAUCUAAUUAAAUCAUAUUUAAUUAGACUUAAUCUCAAUCUAUUGGCUUAAUCAAAUUAAGCUAAUUAACAAUCGAAUUGCUAAUCGAUCCUCCUGCAACACUUGCACUAGGUUAAAUGUCAAUCGUAUUGAUCGUUUAACCCUAGAAAGAUUGUUAAUCGUUGAUCAACCAUCCGAUCAGAUCGUGAACUCUAAUGUGUGUGAUCUCAUAGGUUCAAAUUUAAGCUGGUAGCAUAGAAAUAAAUUUUUGUACCAAUCGAAGUGACCAUCUAGCAAUGGUACCCAAC